rfam:Vicugna pacos cont1.275134, whole genome shotgun sequence.
CUGAGUUAGCUCCAAACUCAAUCCAUACUCCAAGUAACAGAUUUAAGAUGCUCAAUAUUGGAAUUAUUUGGCAUCAACUUAAAAAGAAAC